rnacentral:rRNA from 1 species
UGCCUGUACCAUAACCGACACAGGUGGGUAAGUAGAGUAUACUAAGGGGCGCGAGAUAACUCUCUCUAAGGAACUCGGCAAAAUAACUCCGUAACUUCGGGAGAAGGAGUGCCUUAUUCUUAAGGUUGCAAUAACAAGAUCCAAGCAACUGUUUAUCAAAAACACAGGUCUCCGCUAAGUCGUAGACGAUGUAUGGGGGCUGACGCCUGCCCAGUGCCAGAAGGUUAAAGAAGUCGGUUAGCAAUAGCAAAGCUGGUAACUGAAGCCCUGGUGAACGGCGGCCGUAACGAUAACGGUCCUAAGGUAGCGAAAUUCCUUGUCGGGUAAGUUCCGACCCGCACGAAAGGCGUAAUGAUUUGGAUGCUGUCUCGGAGAGGGGGCUCGGUGAAAUAGACUUGUCUGUGAAGAUGCGGACUACCUGCACCAGGACAGAAAGACCCUAUGAAGCUUUACUGUAACUUGAAAUUGAAAUUGGACUUUAUUCGCGCAGUAUAGGUGGGAGGCGUUGAUUAUAAUCUUGUGGGAUUAUUGGAGCCAUCAGUGAGAUACCACUCUUGUAAUGUUAGAUUUCUAACUUUGAAUCAUUAUCUGGUCAAAGGACAGUUUCAGGCGGGCAGUUUGACUGGGGCGGUCGCCUCCUAAACGGUAACGGAGGCGUACAAAGGUUUCCUCUGAACGGUUAGAAAUCGUAUCUAGAGUGUAAAGGCAUAAGGAAGCUUGACUGUGAGACCUACAAGUCGAGCAGGGACGAAAGUCGGUCUUAGUGAUCUGACGGUACUGAGUGGAAAGGCCGUCACUCAACGGAUAAAAGUUACUCUAGGAUAACAGGCUGAUCUCCCCCAAGAGUUCACAUCGACGGGGAGGUUUGGCACCUCGAUGUCGGCUCAUCGCAUCCUGGGGCGGUAGUACGUCCCAAGGGUUGGGCUGUUCGCCCAUGAAAGCGGUACGCGAGCUGGGUUCAGAACGUCGUGAGACAGUUCGGUCCAUAUCCGGUGUAGGCGCUAGAAUAUUGAGAGGAGCCUUCUUUAGUACGAGAGGACCGAGAAGGACAUACCUCUGGUGUACCAGUUAUCGUGCCAACGGUAAACGCUGGGUAGCUAUGUAUGGAGUGGAUAACCGCUGAAAGCAUCUAAGUGGGAAGCCCACCUCAAGAUAAGUAUUCUCAUCACGUAAGUGAGUAAGGUCACGGUAAGACUAACCGUUUGAUAGGCAUUAAGUGUAAGUACAGUAAUGUAUGUGCUGAGAUGUCCUAAUAGACCGAGGACUU